GAAAGAAUUGUUUAUUUCUCAAAGUAGACAACACCGACGGCUAUCACACAUGUCACCAACCAAUUGGCCUCCUCCAUUCAAAUAAUGACAAAACCAGUCAAAGAUGACAUUUCGGCAUUUCCUCUUCAACUUGCUCCGCUGGCUGUUCCACACCAAAUAUUCAAAGCUUUCCCACGUGAUUUGAUGCAUGUUUCCUCUUUCCUUUGUCCAAUUGUUAAUACUCUUGCUCCACUUGCUGUUCCACAGCAAAUUACUCUAACAAACCACAACUUUCGGCAAGAAUACUCUUUUCCUUUCUCCAGGUGAAUACUCGUUUCCUUUCUCCAAUGGCAGAAGGAGUCCUCUUCAACAUUGCACAAGGAAUCAUUGAAAGGUUAGGCUCCCGCGCUUUUGAAGAGAUUGGAUUGGUUUGGGGUGUCAACGAUGAGCUCCAAAAGCUUAAGCUUGUAGUUUCCCAACUCCGACCUGUUCUUCUUGAUGCUGAGCAAAAGCAAGCCAGCAAUGAAGCAGUCAAAGAGUGGCUCCAACGCGUAGAAGAUGCAGUUUAUGAAGCUGAUGACGUGCUCGAUGAGUUUAACACCGAAGCUCAGUGGAGACAAAUGGUGCCUGGAAAUAAUAAAGUGUCAAAGCAGGUACGCAUCUUCUUCUCUAGCUCAAAUCACCUUGUUUUUGGGCUGAAAAUGGGUCAUAAGAUAAAAGAUCUUAACAAGAGACUUCAUGAGAUUGCCUCGAAUAGAACAUUUUGUCAAUUAGAAAGGAAUCGUGAAGAUGUAGAAUUUGUAAGAAGAGAGAGGGUCACUCACUCAUUUGUCCGCGAGGAUAAUAUAAUAGGGAGAGAUGAAGAUAAAAGAGAAAUUAUUCAACUUCUGUUGCAUCCCAUCCCUACAGAGAAUACAGAGAAUGUGUCCACCAUUUCCAUUGCGGGAUUUGGAGGAAUGGGAAAAACUGCACUUGCCCAACUCGUAUUCAACGAUGAAGAGGUUCAACAGCAUUUUGAGCCGAAAAUGUGGACAUGUGUCUCUAAUUCAUUUCAGUUGGAUAUACUUGUUAGGAAAAUCCUAAAAGCGGAUAACCUGGACAUGGAUCAGUUGCAAAAUGAGCUUAGGAAGAAGAUCGAUGGGAAGAGAUACCUCCUUGUGUUAGACGAUGUGUGGAAUGAGAAUCGUAACAAAUGGCUUAGCUUGAAAGACUUGUUGAUGGGUGGUGCAGUAGGGAGUAGAAUUCUAAUAACUACUCGUAGUAAAAACGUUGCAAAUAUAGCAGAUACAGCUGAACUAUAUAACUUAAGGGGCUUGAAUGAAGAGCAGUCCUGGUUUUUAUUUAAGAAAAUGGCGUUCAAAGAGGGAAAAGAGCCAGAGAGUUCAACAAUUAAGGCCAUUGGGGAGGAGAUUACUAGAAAAUGUCAGGGGGUUCCUCUUGCUAUGAGGACCAUAGGACGGAUGUUGUACUCGAAACAUCAAGAAACUGAGUGGUUGGCUUUCAAAAGUAACAAGCUUUCAACAAUAAGUCAAGAAGAAGAUGAUAUUAUACCAACGCUUCAGCUGAGUUAUGAUGUUCUCCCAUCACGUUUGAAACAUUGUUUUGCUUGUUGUAGUUUGUUCCCGCCUGAUUAUGAGAUUCCCGUAGAGAAUUUAAUUAAGCUGUGGGUGGCACAAGGGUUCGUUAAGUCUUCAAAUCCAAAUGAGUGCUUGGAAGAUGUUGGUUAUGAAUAUUAUAACGAACUAAUUUGGAGAUCUUUUUUCCAAGAAGAAGAAAAAGAUGGGUUUGGUAUAAUAAAAAGCUGUAAAAUGCAUGAUCUCAUGAAUGAACUUGCUGUUAAAGUGGCAGGGGAGGGAAGCAGAAUAAUAGAUUGCAAUAAGACUGAUUUUGAUGCAAAACGUCUUCUCCAUGUAUCUUUCGAUUUUGAUGUUGAUUUUUCGAAAUGGAAAAUACCAACAUCCUUGCUGGAAUCAAAUAAGCUAAGGACUUUUCUUUUCCUAAGACAAGGGCGGCAUGUGAAGUCAUUCCAUAACUCAUUUUGUGCUACAAUUGCUUCAAAUUUUAAGUCAUUGCGUAUGUUGGGUUUGAAUAAAUUGGGAAUUACAAAAUUGCCAAAAUGUCUUAGGAAAAUGAAACAUUUAAGAUAUCUUGAUCUUAGUGGAAAUCUCAUUGAGAGACUUCCAAAUUGGAUAGUGAAACUUCAAAAUUUGGAAACACUAGAUCUCAAUUGUUGUCGGUUUCUUGUGGAAUUGCCUAGAGAUAUUAAGAAAUUGAUCAACUUGAGGCAUCUCAUUUUGGCAAAUUGUGACAACUUGGCUUGGAUGCCUCGUGGAUUGGGUGAAUUGACUCAUGUUCGUACUUUGAAUACAUUUGUUUUGAGUGAAAACAAAUCCAUGUUGAGGGACAGUGCAGAGCUCAGUGAGUUGGGAAAGCUGAAGGAUUUAAGAGGAGAGUUGAAAAUCAAAAAUUUGACGUACGAGCAAGAUAUGGUGUCAGAAUUGAAUUAUGAUUGUGCAGUUUUGAAGGAGAAACGACAUCUCUAGUCGUUGGCUUUAUAUUGGAUGCACAUUGAAAGAGAAAAUAAUGAUGCGGAGGAGAGUGAUGUAAUGGAAGCGCUGCAGCCCCAUUCGAGUCUAAAAGAGUUGGUCGUGAACGGAUACCCGGGUGCGAGGUUUGCGAGUUGGUUUCAUUCUCUCACAAAUAUUGUUAAUCUCACAUUGUCUGAGUGUGAUAGAUGCCAACAUCUUCCACCGUUCGAUCAUUUACCUUUUCUUAAGAGUCUUGAUCUUAACGAGUUAAGGAAUUUGGAGCACAUAUCUGCAGAAGACAAGGUCAAGGACUUCGCCGGUGAUGUGAUGAUGAUGUCAGCUGCUUCUCCAUCGACGACCUUCUUUCCCUCCUUAGAGAGGCUUUCUCUAAGAAUAUGCCCUAAUCUCAAGGGAUGGUGGAGGAAUGAAACAGCUUCAGCUUCAGCUUCUUCAUUUCCUUGUCUUUCUUUUUUAUCCAUAUAUGGUUGUCCUAACCUAACUUCCAUGCCGCUGUACCCAAAUCUUGAUGAAAUGUGGUUACGGAAUAGCAGCUGGAAGGUCCUUCCCUCCUCCUUUGUUCCCUCUUACAAAUUAAAAUAUCUGAUGAUUAGCGGCGUUGAGGAUAUAGAAUAUGUGCCAGAAGAAGGGAUUGGAAACCUCACAUUACUUGAGAAGCUUGAAAUUAGAGAUUGUCCUAAUUUGGUAUCACUACCAGAUCAAGGGAUGGGUCGCCUCAUCUCCUUACAGAGACUGCAUAUUUCAAAUUGUCCUAAAUUGGCAUCACUGCCAGAUCAAGGGAUGGGUCGCCUCAUCUCCUUACAGAGACUGCAUAUUUCACAUUGUCCUAAAUUGGCAUCACUACCAGAAGGGAUUGGCAACCUCACAUUACUCCAGAAGCUCUCAAUUGAAGAUUGCCCUAAUUUGGCAUCACUUCCAGAAGGGCUUUGUUGCCUCAUCUCCUUACAGGAACUGAGAAUUUGGUAUUGCCCGAAAUUGGGGUCACUACCAGAAGGGAUGGGCAACCUCAAAUCACUUCAGUUGCUUUUGAUAUGGGAUUGCCCUAAUUUGGCAUCACUCCCGGAAGGGCUUCGUUGCCUCCUCUCAUUAAAAAGGUUGAUAAUUGAUAGUUGCCCCAUCUUAAAGCAAAGAUGCCAGAAAGAAACAGGGGAGGACUGGUCCAAGAUUGCUCACAUCCCAGUCAUUAGAAUUGAUUUGAGGGUAUGAAUUUUAAGGGUUGGUUCAGUGGAGAUUGGAUCCCCACUAAAAACUCUUAUGGCUUGAUUGUGAUUGUGCAACAGCAGGUCACCAAAAAUGUGGUAGAUUAACUUGAGAGGUUUAGAUGGCAUUCAAGGUCCGGUUUAUGUGGGUACUGGAUGUGUCUUCAAUAGAACAGCCUUGUAUGGUUAUGAACCUCCUGUUAAGCCUAAGCAUAAGAAAGAUGGGUUUGUAUCUUCACUUUGUGGGGGAUCACGGAAGAAGGGUUCAAAAUCAAGUAAAAAGGGCUCAGACAAGAAGAAAUCAAACAAGCAUGUGGAUCCUACUGUGCCGAUUUUCAGUCUAGAGGAUAUUGAAGAGGGGGUGGAAGGUGCUGGAUUUGAUGAUGAGAAGUCAUUAUUGAUGUCUCAAAUGAGCUUGGAAAAGAGGUUUGGUCAGUCUGCCGUUUUUGUUGCCUCCACACUGAUGGAGAACGGUGGUGUUCCUCAAUCUG